ensembl:snRNA U1 U1 spliceosomal RNA
AUACUUACCUGGCAGGGGAGACACCAUGAUCAGGCAGGUGGUUUUCCCAGGGCGAGGCUCAUCCCCUGCAAUCCGGGUGUGCUGACCCCUGCAAUUUCCCCAAAUGCGGGAAACUCGACUGCAUAAUUUGUGGUAGUGGGGGACUGCAUUCUAUGAUUCUGUGAUAUUAGCUUCUUCUUU